UACGUAGGGUCCGAGCGUUAAUCGGAAUUACUGGGCGUAAAGCGUGCGCAGGCGGUUUUGUAAGCCAGAUGUGAAAGCCCCGGGCUCAACCUGGGAACUGCAUUUGGGACUGCAAGGCUGGAGUACGGCAGAGGGAGGUGGAAUUCCACGUGUAGCAGUGAAAUGCGUAGAGAUGUGGAGGAACACCGAUGGCGAAGGCAGCCUCCUGGGCUAGUACUGACGCUCAUGCACGAAAGCGUGGGGAGCAGACAGG
rnacentral:rRNA from 1 species